rnacentral:rRNA from 1 species
AUUGAACGCUGGCGGCAUGCUUUACACAUGCAAGUCGAACGGUAACAGGCCUUCGGGUGCUGACGAGUGGCGAACGGGUGAGUAAUGCAUCGGAACGUACCCAGAGGUGGGGGAUAACGCAGCGAAAGCUGUGCUAAUACCGCAUGUGAUCUGAGGAUGAAAGCGGGGGACCGAGCAGCAAUGUUUGGCCUCGCGCCCUUGGAGCGGCCGAUGUCGGAUUAGCUAGUUGGUGGGGUAAAGGCCUACCAAGGCGACGAUCCGUAGCUGGUCUGAGAGGACGACCAGCCACACUGGGACUGAGACACGGCCCAGACUCCUACGGGAGGCAGCAGUGGGGAAUUUUGGACAAUGGGCGCAAGCCUGAUCCAGCAAUGCCGCGUGCGGGAAGAAGGCCUUCGGGUUGUAAACCGCUUUUGGCAGGAACGAAACGGUGUCCGCUAAUACCGGGCGCUAAUGACGGUACCUGCAGAAUAAGCACCGGCUAACUACGUG